UCAAUAAAAAAAUAUAUUUUAAAAACACUAAUGUAUAACUUUAAAAGUAUAAUUGCUUUCCCUAUGAAAGAUCUGAUUUUUACAAGUAAUCGUCAAAGAUAGACAUUCACAUAUCUUGUCCUGUUGUUUUGUCUGAAGCUCUGCAUUAUGGCUGCAGAGAGAUAGUUUUGGUUUCAAUUGAAAUUCCCCUGCCUCGGAUUGUUUAAACCAGACCCUUAAUCUUAUUUUAACAUACUUAAAAUGUUCAAAAAAACCCGGAAGAAUUGUUUUGUAUAAGUAGCAAGUGAAUGUAGUUUAAACACUCAAGCAAUUCUGCUAUCUAAUUGGAAACAGGUGGAAUUCUUGGAAUCCUGUGUUUAAAUGUUAUUAUAGCAAAGCAUAGAGACACUUUUUACUGAAGGCCAUUGGUUUUGUUGAAGCUAUUUGAAGAGGAGCCUCAUGACUUCUCAUUUUGCCCACUACUGUUUCCCUGGAUGUUCCAGUCCUGCUGGGCAUUUUAGGAACUGGAUACCUGGACACCUGAGAGAGACCUGCAUGUGUAGGUCAUGGAGCAAAAAGAAACUUUAAUGGCAUAAUUAGACAAGCGGUUUAAUAUCUGUAUUAUGUAACUUUUAUAGCAAAAGGGUUGUGAAUUCAUUUGUGAUUUCUAAUUUAAUAAACAUUUAUUGCCAUGAGCAUUUGGGUACAUGUAUUAUACCUUGACAAUGAUUUAGAAUUCAGACAGAAACUACUUUCCCUAAAAGCUCUACAUUUAGAGAUAUAAGCUUAAAUAGCAGCCUGCCCCGGAAAAAAACCCCAAAAUGGUUAGGGGGCAUUUCAGUAAUAAAGGUGGAGCCCUCUGAAUUGUAUAAGUCAUUUUUUUUUCUAUUCUAGUUUUCAAAGCCAGCAAAUAGCCUUGGUUUUGCUUUAUGUUUAAGAACCAAGUUUUGGUUGGUGUUUGGAUAUUGGUUUUAUUGAAGAGGACGACUAAGACUUGUAUUAAGCUCUUGGUUUUGCCACACUUUUGGGUUUGCUGAGCUGUAAUCAGUCCUGUUUUUCAGCUGUCUUCUGAGAAAGUUGGUAGAGGAGAGUAGUUUUGGCUGGGCAGGAAAUGGCCCUGCAGGAAGUUACUUGGGAUUGAGGAGAAACCAGCGGCAUUGCCCUCAUUUGUGCCACGCCUGAAACAGCUUUGAAGCACCUGGGUUAAUGUACCUGGCCUGUGACUUAAAGAUUUUUUAAGAGUGGGUGUGCUAUCCUAUUCACAUAAUAUGACACAGUUAAAAAAACAAUGAGGGUGAACAACUCUUUCUGGAAGACUUGUAAUUUAUUGCAAAACCCAUCAAGAAUCUUUUCUUGAAAAGUAAACAACUCUAUAAUAAAAAUAAUUCUAAUUCUUCCUUUAAUUAAAUUCCGAUAGAAUGAUGUCAGUGCACACAAUACAUGUUGUCAGUUUCUUCACUUGCAUCUGAAGGCUUUCUUUACUACAGGAGGCCCAGAGCAGAAUUUUUGUUUACUAGAGCCUUGUGCCAUGGACAGCCUGGGAAGUUCCUCAAACAUGAUUGGUGUGGAUUCUUCUUCAGAGGAACACCCCCCUCCCUCCUCAGAAACACCAUCAGACAGGUGACUGGAAAGGCAUGAGGUUGGGAGUUUCAUUCCUCCCAAGAAUUUACCUACCACGUGAGAGCAACAGAGAAAAAUAGCCAGAGAAAUUGCUAUUUAAAUAAAAAUAAUUUGAUUAAAGCUAGCAAAUGACACCAAAGGUAAAUCCCUGUCUUGAAAAGCCUGAAGCUGCAAACGUAAGCAAGGCCGGUGGGCUGUUGGUAAAAGAAGAGCCUCUAUGGAACCACCCUCGGCCUGGAUGCUGCCGGCCCCAAGUGCCUGCUGUCACCACUGCCUGCCAUUUCUUGCCCCACUUCUGAGCUCCUGCCCUGCCAAGCCUGUCCCCUCUGUUGUUGUGACUUUUAAAAAAAUAUUUGUGGAGCUCCAUUAUUUUGAGAUUCUUGGAAGAAAGAUACUAUGUAAAUGAAAAAUAAAAAUCUUGCUGGA